GGAUAAGCGGGGGAAACCCCGUCUAAUACCGCGUAACGCGGCCUAGGGACAUCCCAAGGCCGCCAAAGGGAGCAAUCCCGGCCACGGAUGGGCAUGCGGCGCAUUAGCUAGUCGGCGGGGUAACGGCCCACCGAGGCGACGAUGCGUGGGGGUUCUGAGAGGAAGGCCCCCCACACUGGUACUGAGACACGGACCAGACUCCUACGGGAGGCAGCAGUGAGGAAUAUUGGUCAAUGGGCGCGAGCCUGAACCAGCCAAGUCGCGUGAGGGAGGACGGCCCUACGGGUUGUAAACCUCUUUUGCCGGGGAGCAACGGGCGCCACGUGUGGCGCCACUGAGAGUACCCGGAGAAAAAGCAUCGGCUAACUCCGUGCCAGCAGCCGCGGUAAUACGGAGGAUGCGAGCGUUAUCCGGAUUUAUUGGGUUUAAAGGGUGCGUAGGCGGAUCGUUAAGUCAGUGGUCAAAUUGAGGGGCUCAACCCCUUCCCGCCAUUGAAACUGGCGAUCUUGAGUGGAAGAGAAGUAUGCGGAAUGCGUGGUGUAGCGGUGAAGUGCAUAGAUAUCACGCAGAACCCCGAUUGCGAAGGCAGCAUGCCGGCUUCCUACUGACGCUGAAGCACGAAAGCGUGGGGAUCGAACAGGAUUAGAUACCCUGGUAGUCCACGCGGUAAACGAUGAGCGCUAGGUGUCCGGGGGGAAUGGCCCCUGGGC
rnacentral:rRNA from 1 species